GGCAGGGGGCGGCCUCUCCCACGGCGGCGACUCUCGGUCCCGGGCUCCGUGCCUUUCGGGCGACACGGCGACCUCGGGGGACGGGCUGCGUCGGCCGGGCAUGGCGGCGUGGAGCCCGGCCGCAGCAGCUCCUCUGCUCCGCGGGAUCCGCGGGCUUCCUCUUCUCCACUGUGCCCAGCGGAUGUUUGCCUCGCAGACUGAGGGGGAGCUCAAAGUGACCCAAAUUCUCAAAGAAAAGUUUCCUCGAGCAACAGUGAUCAAAGUCACCGACAUUUCAGGAGGCUGUGGGGCAAUGUAUGAAAUCCAAAUCGAGUCAGAAGAAUUUAAGGAGAAGAGAACUGUCCAGCAGCACAGGAUGGUGAAUCAGAGAAUUCACGUCCUGGCAUCGGUGCACUUGAACCUGGAGCAGCUCCGGCCCGGGUCACCACAGCAGCCGCCUGGCCCGGCCGAGCACUGCUUGUGAUGGAGGAGGUGAUGCAGAUCACAGCCAGGCACCCACAGCCACUGGAGCAGGCACUUAAAGAAGAAAUCAAAGGAAUGCAUGGAUUGAGGAUAUUUACCUCCGUCCCCAAACACUGACCACGCCCCGGCUGCAUAGAUGCUGCUGCUUAAAACCUUGGAUGAACUUGACCAUUCUUUCCUAGGCAUUUGCCAAAAAAGUUAUCUAUUUUGUUCAUAGACAUUUCCGUAUUAUAAUUAUAGAAGAAUUUGUUAUCUAUUUAGAUGUUAAUUAAUGGCAACAGACAACUGAAGCUUUUAAAGAGUCAUUAGUCAUGCUUCUAUUUCCUUUAUUUCAAAAGCAAUGUCCUUUUGUCCAAAGUGGUCUCGUUUUUGGACAGUUCUGUCCUGAUGCAACAGAUGCAGGACAGAGUGCCAGCUCCUUUUGUCCUGUCAAGACUCUUUUUUGUUUUUCCUCCCUGAAACUGCUCAGGCCCCUUAAUCUUACCAAAAAGGUAAGAAAAGAAAAGAUCCUUGGAUUUUACUGUUUCCUUAGUUUACCACUGUCUUUCCCUCCCCUCCAUAAGCCUGAACUUGGAUGCUCAGUUUUUUGCUCCCUGGAGUGGACUCUGAGGAUCUGGGGCUGCCAUGAUCAGGAUCUUCUUCCCGUGUCUGAAAAUUCCCCACCCUUUGCAUCUUGGUGGGAGGUGGAGCCUGCCUCCCCGACAGAAGCUGAAAAGGCUUGCUUUCCUAGCUCCCUUGCAAAUAAGGCACAGGCCAAGCUAGACUCAGGCAAUCAGACAGAACUAUGCUGCACUUUGAAUUGGGAGCAAGUGACGCCAAGAAGCAAGGGCAGUGGUGCAUCCACCUGGCAGCCGUGGCACUGAUGUCCGGUGUUCUGGGUGGUGGCAGCAGCAGAGUCAGUGGCCCCUCCUACCUCCCUAAGAAAUAAGAAUAUGUGGGUAAAACAACCUUGAGCCCCAGAGUUUUCGAGCAGCGCAAGUUUUACAUGUUCUGUUCACGUACUGUGUCCCCAUUUUUUGGUUUAAAAAUAUUCUGUAUCUCUAUGGUGGGGUGAAGGGCUUGGUGUCCUGCCAGGGCAAAGCUGCCUUUUACGUGGAAUAGAGUCGCUCAGUUGUGUCAGAGCUGAGUAGACAGGAUAAAACGAACUCCUGAGGGCCUGAGACAUCUGUGAAAGCUAGACACCCCCCAGAGGCCAGCUUUUAGGUGGUGCAGUGAGGAAACACCUAAGACUGGAGUUCCUGAAGCCAGAAGGCAGCGGUCAGCGAGAACAGAGAGACGACAGAAUUAUACGUAUGUUGAUUGCACGAAUGGAGUCUAAUUGUCCUCCUCUUUAAGGUGAACUGCACCUAGUCACCUGCUUCUACAGGACAGAAUAAGGUGGAAGUGACAAUACACAGCCUCAGAACUAGGUCAUAAAAGGCACUGUGGCCUCCUUCUUGAUUUCUCUUGGAUUCCUGGCUCGAGGAGAGGGUAGCUGCCAUGUUGUGAGGACACUCAAGCAGUCUGUGGAGAAGCCCAGGGGAGCACCCGAGGCCUCUUACCAACAGGCAAGGAAACAGGCCUGCCAAACGCCAGCAGGGAACUGAGCCUUCUGUCAGGACGAGAGCCAUGUGGGUGAGCCAUCUUGGAAGUGGAUCCUUCCAAGUCACAGUCACAAUCAAGCCUUCAGAAAACUGUAGCCCCAGCUGAUAUCUUGACUGCAACCCAAGCCAGAACCACCCAGCUAAGCUACUCCCCAAUUCCUGACCAACAGAAACCGUGAGAUAAUAAAUGUUGGUUCUUUUAAGCCACUAAA